rnacentral:rRNA from 1 species
CUUGCUGCGGGGGAUUAGUGGCGAACGGGUGAGUAACACGUGAGUAACCUGCCCUUGACUCUGGGAUAAGCCUGGGAAACUGGGUCUAAUACCGGAUAUGACCUUCCAUCGCAUGGUGGUUGGUGGAAAGCUUUUGUGGUUUUGGAUGGACUCGCGGCCUAUCAGCUUGUUGGUGGGGUAAUGGCCUACCAAGGCGACGACGGGUAGCCGGCCUGAGAGGGUGACCGGCCACACUGGGACUGAGACACGGCCCAGACUCCUACGGGAGGCAGCAGUGGGGAAUAUUGCACAAUGGGCGCAAGCCUGAUGCAGCGACGCCGCGUGAGGGAUGACGGCCUUCGGGUUGUAAACCUCUUUCAGUAGGGAAGAAGCCGCAAGGUGACGGUACCUGCAGAAGAAGCGCCGGCUAACUACGUGCCAGCAGCCGCGGUAAUACGUAGGGCGCAAGCGUUAUCCGGAAUUAUUGGGCGUAAAGAGCUCGUAGGCGGUUUGUCGCGUCUGCCGUGAAAGUCCGGGGCUCAACUCCGGAUCUGCGGUGGGUACGGGCAGACUAGAGUGAUGUAGGGGAGACUGGAAUUCCUGGUGUAGCGGUGAAAUGCGCAGAUAUCAGGAGGAACACCGAUGGCGAAGGCAGGUCUCUGGGCAUUAACUGACGCUGAGGAGCGAAAGCAUGGGGAGCGAACAGGAUUAGAUACCCUGGUAGUCCAUGCCGUAAACGUUGGGCACUAGGUGU